rnacentral:rRNA from 1 species
CAGUCGUACCGACGAGAAAUCAGCUUAUCGUGUGUUAACUUGUGGGCGUGCGUGAGUUUCGGCCUCGCUGUUUGCAUGUUUGUGCGCUUUGGGUGUACUUUUUCGUAUGGUUGGCCAACAUCAGUUUCGAUCACUAUAAAAUGACUGGCGGAAUGUAGCUUCGAUUUCGGUUGAAGUGUUAUAGCCUCUGGUAGAUGUGGUAAUUGGGACUGAGGAUUGCAACGAAUAUCCUUUGGGCUAUCCGUCUGGCCUCUGAAAGUUUCUUGGGUGCUGAAAGCUUGCUUAUGGUUAUCUAAGUUAACGGUCAAUAGGUUAGAACGUGAUUACA